rnacentral:rRNA from 1 species
GAUGAACGCUGGCGGCGUGCUUAACACAUGCAAGUCGAACGAUGAAGCCCAGCUUGCUGGGUGGAUUAGUGGCGAACGGGUGAGUAACACGUGAGCAACCUGCCCCUGACUCUGGGAUAAGCGCUGGAAACGGCGUCUAAUACUGGAUAUGUCCCGUCACCGCAUGGUGUGCGGGUGGAAAGAUUUUUCGGUUGGGGAUGGGCUCGCGGCCUAUCAGCUUGUUGGUGAGGUAAUGACUCACCAAGGCGUCGACGGGUAGCCGGCCUGAGAGGGUGACCGGCCACACUGGGACUGAGACACGGCCCAGACUCCUACGGGAGGCAGCAGUGGGGAAUAUUGCACAAUGGGCGAAAGCCUGAUGCAGCAACGCCGCGUGAGGGAUGACGGCCUUCGGGUUGUAAACCUCUUUUAGCAGGGAAGAAGCGAAAGUGACGGUACCUGCAGAAAAAGCACCGGCUAACUACGUGCCAGCAGCCGCAGUAACAC